rnacentral:guide_RNA from 1 species
AUAUAACAAACAACAUCGUGGCAUAUAAGUCAGAGUAUAGAGGUAAU